CGCUCCACACCCCGUUUCAUAACCUGCUCCAAAAAAGUUAAUACAGAACCAUAUAAACACUUCUUCUUUUUCACGAAGCCCUAAUCCUACUACGCAGUUCUCCCACACCCAUACCUAAAUCUAUUCCAUCAUUCAACGAUUUUUUGUUUGGAUCUUGAAGUUUAGGUAAGCUUUCUCCCGUUGGUGAACUAAAUGAUGAGACUCAGCAAACCCUAGAGAUCUCAUCGUCGCUGUUCAAAAUGAUGAACAGAUUCACCAGGGUUCGUAUGUGGGGUAAUCGAUGAGGAUGUUUCGAAUAGAGCAAUGGAAUAUCCAUGAAACUGACUUUACCACUAGAUUACUCCCAGUCCGUGAAUAAUCUUCUGACUGUCUUGACUGAAAUGCGAUUCAUAUUUCAGAUUUUGGCAUGUAUACUCGAUUUUGUUGAUUCGUAUUUUAUUUGCUUUUUCUCUGAUCCGCAAUCAAGAUUGAAGCCAACUAUGAGUUUAGUAACAAAAUCAAAUUUCAAUUUCAUGUUUAUCAAAUGAUCAUCAUCAGUUAUGGAGUGGUCGGAGACGAAGAGAUGAUGAUAAUGAUGGUUUCCAGUGACCGAACGGCCGGAAUGAAAGCGGUGGUGAUGGUCGAUAGUGGUGGUUGCGGUUGGUCGAUAAUGAUUUUUUUUUAAUUAAUAUUUUGUGGAUUGUUUACCAAAACUGGAAGGAGGUUUGUUAAGGUUUUUGUUGAUGUGGGUUGUCUAAAAAAAGCCACAAAAUUGGGUUACUUUUGGUUUAAAUAUUUCCUUGGGUUUAAAUAAAAGGGUUUUAAUAAACAUAAUCCUUGUGGCUAUGGCUAACAAUCGAAAUUUUAUAACCUUUUUUGGUGGCCGGUUGUUAAAGGUAAAAAAGCUAACAUUAUGUGAGAAUUCAUAAAUAAAGACUUUUGAGAUAUUUUUGGUCGUUCUUUGUUUUGUUUAUGAUGAAAUAUUAUGUUUUUUUAUUAAAGUAAUUGGUGGUUGUUUGUGUGUCCGGAACCUUCAAGGAGUUGAAAUCAAUUUGGUUAAGGACUGAGAAAUCUUUUGGUUGUGAUAGGUAUAUGAUUACACCAUAAUGGUCGUAAGUUAUUUUAGGAUUUAAGAUGGAAGAGGCUUCUUGAUUCGGAUGAUGAAAAGGCUGAAGCAUAUCAACUUAUGGGUUUAUUGAAGCAACAAGCCAUCAAUGACA